UAAAGGUCUGCUGAUCAGUUCAUCACUUUUGGAAAGCCUUUGUUUUGCUAGUGUUUAAAUAACCGUUUCCUCCAGGCUUUUAUUUUGAAGAGGCAUUUUUAAUGCUAUGGGCUUUUAUUUUGUAACCAUUCCAGCGGCGCAGGAAGUGUUUCUAUAAGAAGAGGUUUCUUGACAUGAAGAAGUCCAAAAAUUCAUGUAAAGACGAAAGAAAACGGUUCCACUGUUGCUGUCUAUAAAGGAUGUGUCUGAACUUAGAAGCAGCUGGAAUGGAGACAAGAAAGGAUGGAAGGACAGAAAGGUGAAUUUGUGUUCAAAAUAAGGCUGAACAUAAAUGAAGACUGUGAAACAUCAGGAGCUUCACCGUCAUUCGCCCCCCCACUCUCACUCGCUUUCUUCUUCUUUGGUGUUCGUCUUCUUUCUUCUUCUUUUGAAGAGUUAAUGUCGAUUAAACCAGAUCAUUUGCGCAUUGCUGUGUACUGGGCUGAAGUGUGGAGCAGAAGUUUGUCGGCAACAAAAAAUAUUCAGUCGUAAUUAUAAGAAAGCGGCAAAUUUACUGGUCGCACAUGCGCGAGUAGAUGAAAAAUUUACUGGCACUCGCUCAAAUUUUGGUCGCAAAAUGCGACCAUUUAGUCGCAGUCUGGAGCCCUGAUUUACGGGCUGCACAGUGGUUAGUUCUUUGGCCGUGCAGCCAGAAGAUCCCUGGUUCGUGUCCUGGCCUUCCAGACAGAACAUCAGGAACCAAACAUCUGGACUUAACAGAAGGUUCUUCUGAAAGAAGCAGAACUUUAAGCUCCAUGUUGAAUGUUUGCUUCCAGGAAACCUUCAGUCCACCAGACCAGUUCUGUAUCCAGAUGUGGAUUAUGGUCUGUUAGUGCUCCACAUCUGGAUCUGUUUCUGUUCAGGUUCUGAAGGUUCUAAGACCCAGAAUGUGAACAGGUUUUAUUGUGAAAGGUGGGUUCUACAUCAGGGUUCCUCCACAGAUUCAGGUUCCAUUAGUUUGUUGGUUUUUGAAGUUCUGUCAGAUGUUUAGAGAAUUUUUCUGUUUUAUCCUCAGAAACACCUGAGAAGACAUUUAAAGUUCCAGGAUCUCCAGAAACAAACAACCAUCCAUGAAGAACAGACAGAACCAUUGGAUGGAUCCAGCAGAGAACACAGCUUAACUACUGGACCUGGAGAUAGAACAAAGUGUAGAACCUCCAUCCAGGAUGGUCUACUGUCUCCAUGAAGGUCAGUAGAACCUGAUGACGUUAACGUUGGACCAGACCAGGUUCCAGUUCUCAGACGUUCUAAACUGAAGUAAAACCUCCAGACUGUAGAAGCUUCUCCUGGUGACUGAUGACUCAUCAGCUGCUCUGUUUUCUGAUUGGCUGCUGCUGCAGAGCUGAAAUAAACAGUGGGGACUUUGUGCUGUGUUCAGGCGCUGCAGUAAAUUCCUGGUUAGAGACACCUGAAGGCAUCAUGUGGUGAUGGAAGUGGAUCCUCUGGGACCACUGGUUCUCUGGUUCUCACCUGUCCAGAGAAAAGACUCAGGAAGUAGAAGAGCAGCAGAAUUCUCCUGAACUCAGAAAAGUCCUCAGAACAUCUGGAAACGUUCCAGCUGCUGUCACAUUUUCUGCUUUCAUUCUUUUCCACAUCAAUCUUUGUAGAGAGGAAAUGAGCUGCAGUCAGCAGCAGCUUUUCUUUCACUUCUUCACUUUACAAACCAAGUCUCUGAUGAGUCUCUGGCUCCAAAGUGUUCCUAAAGUUCUCCAGAACUACAGGAGAACCGUUCUGUUGGUGUUCCACUGCAGAGGACAGCAGCUGAGUCAUUCCAUGUCAAUUCAACAAAUGCUUGUUGCACCACUUUCUCAGAUCCUCCCAAAAAUUUUUUUUGGGCUUUAUUUGGGUAAUUUUAUGAACAAAUGCAAAGUAUUAUGGUUAUAAACAUACAGUAUAAGCAGUAAUGAUCUAAUCUAAUACCCAUAGUCAGUCCAAACUUAAUCCUCGCCUAUGAUUUUAGGGUUUUAAACUACUAAAAAAAGCAAUUUAUACUCCUUUUACAUGGUCAGAAUUUUUUCCCCUUCCAAAACUUUUACCCUUCUGGUGAGAAAAGUAUAGAAAUGAAUGAAAAUAAAAAAAUACUGGACUGUGGAAUUUCCCAAAAUAUCCUUAUUAUUUCAUGGGCGACUUUAUUUUGGGUUUUUCAUGCCUCUAUUUUAGGA